ensembl:lncRNA
CCUCCUCUCUUCCUCUCCACUUCCUCCUCUUCCUCCUCUCCAGCCCUCCUGGAUGCUCGCUGUAGACAUUCAGAUGCAAAUGCCGGCUGCCCCUAGUAAUUGAAUUCAUCACCAGUUAAUCAGGCACUUUAAAGGCCUGGCUGAGCUCGAGCUCCCUGUAGCUGAAUGCUCCGAAGGACAAGGAGGCUUGAAUGAUGUUGAUGCCGUCACAACCGAUUGUCUGGCACUGAGGGAGCAAGUGGCCAUCUAUGAGGACCAGCUGGCCAAAAUGGAGCAGCAACAUGAGGAGAGGGUCGAGAGUCUGACUGAGCCAGCUGAUGGGGUUCCUGGUGAAGAUGCCCUUGUCUCUUUGGAAUUCCCAGGCUUUGACAUCACCCCUGCUAUCAUGGAUAUCAAGGAGUAUUAUAGUCAGCUGGCAGAGAGCCUGCAGUUUGAGAGCGGCCCGAGAGCGGCCCUCACCGCGGGAGGAGAGGGCAACGGGGCCGCCGGAGCCAAAGCAGCAGGGGUCAAAGUGACAGACGUCUCCAAAGUGACGGACGUGGAUACCCUGAAGACUCUGAUUGCUGAGCUGAGGAAGGAGCUUGCUGAACUGGAGAAGCAGAAUGAGGAGCUGGAGGCAGAGAUCGAGGCCAGGAAAGAGGCUUACCUGCAGGAGAUUGAAGACCUGGAGAACUGUGUGGCGGACCUGAAGGACUCGCAGGCUGACCUUGAGGCUCAGAUGAGGGAGCACUGCAGUGACUAUGAAGAACUCCUGAGUCAGAAGAUGGCCCUGGACAUUGAAAUCGCUGCCUACAGGGGCCUGGUGGAGGAGGAAGAGGAGCGCUUGUACUGCCUGUAAACGGAUGGUGAA